CAAUAGCUACUUGCAUCAUUAUAAAGGUGAUGCAAGAUCGACUAUGUCGAAUAAAAUUCUAGGUAGAAUUAUGAUAAUGACAUUGUCUGCCUAUGUGUCUUGACCAAAUUACGUGCCAGCAGUCGCGGUAAUACGUAGAAGACUAGUGUUAUUCAUGUUUAAUCGGUUUAAAGGGUACCUAGACGGUAAAUCAAGCCUAAAAAAAAAUAAUUGAAGGGACUAAUUUGCUAGAGUUACUUAUGAGGGGGUAUUAAAGUACUGCUGGUGUAGAGAUGAAAUUCUGUCAUACCUCUUUUCAAUAGAAAAACAAUGGCACAGGUAUAGGCGAAAGCAUCCCCUUAUGUGAUAACUGACGUUGAGGGACGAAGGCUUUGUGUAGCGAACAGGAUUAGAUACCCCAGUAGUCAAAGCAGAAAAUGAUGAAUGUCAUAGAUUAGAUAUAUAAGUUUAUUCUAUAAAUGAAAGUGUAAGCAUUCCACCUCAAGAGUAAUUUGGCAACAUUGGAACUGAAAUCAUUAGACCGUUUCUGAAACCAGUAGUGAAGUAUGUUGUUUAAUUUGAUGAUCCGCAAAAAACCUUACCACAAUUUGAAUAUUUAUAUCUAUUAUUGUUUUUUCUUCUUAUUUUUUAAUUAAAAACAAUAAUUAAGAAGAAAAAUAAGAAAAAGAGGCAAUAAGA
rnacentral:rRNA from 1 species